GUAGGUGAACCUGCGGAAGGAUCAUUACAGAGUUAGGGUCUUUUCAGGCCCGACCUCCAACCCUAUGUGUACCUACCUCUGUUGCUUUGGCGGGCCCGUUGGGGUGACCCACCGGUGGGCUUUCUGGCUCCCGAGUGCCCGUCAGAGACCCAUCAAACCCUGUUAACUGUGCUGUCUGAGCAUCAAUAUAAUUAUUAGAACUUUCAACAACGGAUCUCUUGGUUCUG
rnacentral:misc_RNA from 1 species